AGAUCAGAUUAUUGCCAGAACAUGUAUAAACUUUUAUGCAUAAUUUAAGAAAAACUGAGACUUGGACUUACAGGUCUAAUACAAUGUUUAUCCCCUUUUCAUUUGCCUAGUUUAUAUGAAUCCUUUCUUUUUUCUCCCAAUAGGCAGUUAAUAAGCUGAAACAGAUGCUCAAGUUCUUACUUUCAUUUCUUACGUUGAUAGUUGUGGCCUGGCAGUUUCAUAAUCUUGGAAAAGUUCUGGAUUUAUGAGUAAAAAUGAAUUCAACGACAUUAACAUUAAUUCUGUCAUAUCAAUCUGCUAUAUACUUGCAGGUCUUUAAUAAAAGUCUCAGUUGCCAACUUCUUUAUCCAAGACAGCAAAUAGAUGUCAUAUUUCCAUUCAUAAGUGGAUGAAGAUGUCUUCAUUUUAGCAGUAACAUGGACUGUCUAGCACAUUACUCCUCACCCAUUAUAAUUGCGACAGCUAUAGUCCCCCCACCAAAAUUAAAAAGAAAACGAUAAAGAAAUAGCAUAUAUUCUAAGGGUCACUUUCAUCAGCGGCCGCAAAUGUCUAUUCCUAUCAAAAUUGUAAAAUUGAGGUAACCAUAUUAACAGAGAUUAAUGAUGGCUAAUUGAACAACAUUCUCAAGAAAAAACAAGAAGAAUCGAACGAUAAUGAAACAUUAAGUCCCAUUUUAAACCCAACCCAAAUUAUCAACUCUCAACCCUUGCAGCAAACAAUACAAAAUUCAAGACCAGCAGGAAUCGAAUAAAAGAAGAAACACAAAUAGCAAGAACCCAUUACAAAACAAAGAGAAAAAAAAAUCAAGAUGAUGGUAUACCUGCUACAGUGACAAGUGAAUUAUCGUCCUUGGCUUGGACCUGACUGUUGGCUUUAGAAAUCAUACUGUCCUGCACUUUCUGGCAAAGAGAACAUGCCAUCUGCACAGCUCUGACAGCAAUAUCCAUUUCUUUGGAGUAUUUUUCAGGUUGUGGAGAUGAAAGAUCCAAGCUUUUUAGGUCCUCCAUUAUUGAAGAAGUAAAACUU
rnacentral:misc_RNA from 1 species